rnacentral:tRNA from 1 species
CUCCCGGUGGCCUAGUUGGUUAAGGCGCAAGAAUGUAAUGUUGCUUCAAUCUUGAGAUCGGAUGUUCGAAUCAUCCCUGGGAGA